UAUUUAACCAUUUUUUCCAGUGAUAUGUACGUUAACAUGUAAACAAUGCAAAAUAUAAAUGUGUGAAUUCUCUGCAGACGCUUAGCAUUCCACUGCUAAUGUUCAUAAAAGCCUCAGAAUUAAUAUUCAGAAAUGCCACCAGCAAUUUUUCAUACAAAAGUUGCUGCAGCAUAAGGCACUCUAACUUCCCUGGUACAUGUUUUUCUCCAUGAAUUUGCAUUUCACAAGGUCCGUUCCGAUGAGACCGUUUUUAACCACAAACAGAGUUUUACAUAUAGUUUGACACUUGACUUUUGAAACCACAACAUGCAUUCACAGAAAAUACAUCUCCGGGCUUCUGGGUGUUUACUGUAAAUAGAAAGGUUUGGCUAGUUGUAAUUUUCCGCUAAUGCCUAUUAGUUCCCAGGCUCUGGAGGAAUUUGGCUCAGUUGCAGAACUAGUUGAACUAAGCUGGGAAAAGAGAUAUCAAGUUGGAUAAUAAACACUGUUUGCUGCCUCUAGCUUGCUUUCUUUCUUUGUUUCACAGGCCAGCCGUUUGCUGUAAUGAUGUAUGUGGGCAGGUGACAGAUUUUCCUUUGUGGUUUCCCAUCUCAACGACAUUUCCUUCACAAGACUUCACACCACUCCCCGGCUGAACAAGAACUGGCCUGAAAGGUGUCAGAAAAUAAAACUGACAUUGUUUGUCCAGAAUCUUCAUGGACAUUUGAGGAGCCUGUGAAAACUGCUGCACCACCAUUCGAAUAUCUGAGAAAGGUGGCUCACGUGCGAUAAGACCAAUUAGAUAACAGGGACUUAAGUAAACAGAGAAGACUUCAAAGAAAAUUCAACAAGAACAUUUAACGUACGCUGUGCUUUUUUUGAACCAUGACAUCAGUCUUAUCAUCUAGUGAGACAUGGGCAUCUUUGAUCCCGCCACACUGACUGAUAAUAGUCUCUAGAGAAAGAAAGAAGUGGAAGUUAUGUCAUUGAUUCCUCAUGGACCAGUGAAAUGUUUUAAACAAAACAGAUAUGAUUGAUCCUGUUCAGCUAGGCUAAAAUAGAGGCUAAAUUCAUUAAACUAACACCUCAUAUUCCCUGCCCAAACCUCUGGAGAACCAUGACCUCAGAUGUCAACAGCGAAGUACAUCAACUACAUUUGAAUUGCAGUAACAUUAUCUUGCAUAAUAACACACAGAGGUUGGCAAAGUUUAUAGACAACUGUGUAUGCUGACAUCUGUUAUUUGUUAUUUAUACAAAAAGAGCAAUAAAUCAGACUGCAUAAAUUACAGUGAAAUCAAAUUCAGCAGAAGUCAAUAGGGAAAAGAAGCUAAAGAUAGGGUCAUAUGAAUAUCAUCUCUCUUAUGGGGCCAUGUGUCACAGUCCCAGCGGUGGAACUUUAUUCCCAUGAAUGAACUUUGGUUAUUUACCCAGAGUUCCAGACUGUAUGGAGCCAAUGUGUUUUCUCUGAUCAGUGGUCCUUCAGGCUGACAUACAAACAUCAGACUGACUUGCCACUUAAUUCAGUUCUAAAAUUAUGUAGAAUUUACGAUGUCCAGGGAAUUUAAAAAAGUAAUGAAGAAUUUGGGUAUAAUUGUAAACUGGAUUAUUAUACAUUAAUUGUCUCUAAUGACUGUGAACUAACAUUUAAAAUAAUUAAAUACAAUAUGUUUAUUGUGUACGUUUUUACAUUGUACUUACAUUUAAAAUUAUCUCCAUGUAAUUACAAUAUCUACAUCUGUAUUUAAUUUCUAUAAUUAUACAGACUGUUGACUCACCCCUACAAUUCAAAUUUGAAAACCUGGACCCUGCCUGAUCCUGGACAACAAGAUGUAGAUCAGUUUGUUUCUCUAUCAUAAUAGAUUUAGAGAAACUACAUGCAUUACAAGCAUCACUUGCUCACCAAUGGUUCCUCUGCAGUGAAUGGGUGCCGUCAGAAUGAGAGUCCAAACAGCUGAUAAAAACAUCAUCAUAAUACAUUUUUUGCUUGUAAAUGGUGCUUGAUUUGUGUCUAUUUCUUUCCAGAUUCAGACGAGAUGACUUUUGCACUGGAGAAAGCAAUAUUAAAAUUAGAGGACUCAUAUGUUAGCAAGAGGCAACAUUUGAAGUUAAAAACAUCUUAAUUAUGGAUUUGUUUAUUAAUGCAAUUCACCACGUUCUCCCAGCUGGUUCGGUGCCAAGACCUUUAUUUAUUCAAACAUACCAAAAUUUGGUCUGCACUCUAAAAUCUUUUAUUUGAAUUAAAGCAGGGGAUAAAAGACAUCUGCCUUAGUCAGUGACACAGUGACAAAUAAAAGAUUUUAGAGUGCAGACCAAACCAUGUUUGGAUUUAUUUAUUACAAACACACCACUUUUCACUUCACAAGAUGUUAACUGAUGGACUGGAGUCAUUUGAAUUACUUGUGGAUUAUUGUGAUGUUUUUAUCAGCUGUUUGAACUUUCAUUCUGACGGCACCCAUUCACUGCAGAGGAUGCAUUGGUGAGCAAGUGAUAUAAUGCUAAAUUUCUCCCAAUCUGUUUUAGUGAAGAAGCAAACUCAUCUACACAUUGGAUGGCCUAAUGGUGAGUAAAUUUUCAGAAAAUUCUAAUUUUUGGGUGGACUAUUAUUUUAAUCUACCCUUAUACCACAAAGCCUGGCCUUAACUUUAUCAAUAUCCCACCUCAAUAGCAGCAAAAGUGUUUAGCAAUACAACAUAAAUACAAUAACUACACUGUAUUAUUACCUAAAGACACAGUAUAAAGUGUGACCUCACUGCUUGUUUUGAGUUUUAAGAAACAACAAGGUGUGUGUGUGUGUGCAUUUGACAUUUCAUGUUGUCUUCUCAGGACUUGGCAGGGAAUAAGUUGACAGAGAUAUGUUUUCUUUUUAACUGGUUCUUUCUCUAUAAUAAUUUAUAGUUAAGCAGAUGUUUU
ensembl:lncRNA